rnacentral:rRNA from 1 species
UACAGAGGUCUCAAGCGUUGUUCGGAUUCAUUGGGCGUAAAGGGUGCGUAGGUGGCGCCGUAAGUCAGGUGUGAAAUUUCGGAGCUUAACUCCGAAACUGCAUUUGAUACUGCGGUGCUUGAGGACUGGAGAGGAGACUGGAAUUUACGGUGUAGCAGUGAAAUGCGUAGAGAUCGUAAGGAAGACCAGUGGCGAAGGCGGGUCUCUGGACAGUUCCUGACGCUGAGACGCGAAAGCGUGGGGAGCAAACAGG